rnacentral:rRNA from 1 species
GAUGAACGCUGGCGACGUGCCUAAUACAUGCAAGUAGAACGCUGAAGCUUGGUGCUUGCACCGAGCGGAUGAGUUGCGAACGGGUGAGUAACGCGUAGGUAACCUGCCUCUUAGCGGGGGAUAACUAUUGGAAACGAUAGCUAAUACCGCAUAAAAGUCGAUAUCGCAUGAUAUUGAUUUGAAAGGUGCAAUUGCAUCACUAAGAGAUGGACCUGCGUUGUAUUAGCUAGUUGGUGAGGUAACGGCUCACCAAGGCGACGAUACAUAGCCGACCUGAGAGGGUGGUCGGCCCCCCUGGGACUGGGACACGGCCCAGGCUCCUACGGGGAGCAGCAGUAGGGAAACUUCGGCCAUGGGGGCAACCCUGACCGCGCAACGCCGCGUGGGUGAAGAAGGUUUUCGGGUCGUAAAGCUCUGUUGUAAGAGAAGAACGAGUGUGAGAGUGGAAAGUUCCCACUGUGACGGUAACUUACCAGAAAGGGACGGCUAACUACGUG